UAUACCAUACAUGUAUUGUAUGUAACCUCCUACAUAACAUUACAACAUAUUUUACAAGAGAAAGAAGAUGAAUUUGAAGAGGAGUUAUCAUACAUUCAGCUAAACACAUGCCUGUGUUUCAUCGAAUCCUUCCAACCCAUUAAAUAUGUUUGUCGUUUCACACAACACCCAGCAAUAUUGAAGCCAUAUGAAAGGGGCUACAAAUAAUUUUGUUGGGACCAGUGAAACCAGUGACUGACAUCGCAAGUACUGCGCAAUGUGGAUUUGAUGACAUGUAACAACCAACUGAGCGAACCUGACUACUUUAUCAUGUCAGUCACAUGUUGCGACAAACAUCCAUGUGUUGCUUAAGACCAAACCUCAAGUUACAUAUUGGGUAAUCACAACAUAGUGCUCGUCCUCUCUCUCUCUCUCUCUCUGUCUCUCUCUCUCUCUCUCUCUCUCUCUCUCUCUCUCUCUCUCUCUCUCUCUCUCUCUCUCUCUCUCUCUCUACAUGUCAUUUCACACCCAUACUAAGGUCUGUGACGUAUUUAUGCAUAGAAGCAAUCAUUUAUACAAUAAACAUUCAAAGCAUGAAAUAUAUACGUAUACACCCUGUAAACAUAGAGUUGCUUUAAGUAGCACAAUACCAUACAAACCUGUCGUUGUGCAUCCAGUUUGCCUUAGCUGUCUGAUGUUUAACGCAGUGGGAAGCAAGGUAAGUACACAUUCUUAUCUUCACAAACAUAUAUCAUGAACACAUGUAUUUUCAAUACUUAGUACACUUCAAAUGUGAUAUAUCUUCAUUUUUCAAGACGUUUCCGAUGUCUGGAUCUUGAGGUUCAGUGAAGCAUUCAAUUGUGUCAGGAUCAUCUCUCAAACAUUUGUGUUAAUUUAAUGUGAUUUGUAAAUACAAUACAAAAUAUUAUUAUUUUCUAUUUUCGUAUUGAUUUUAUGUGUACGUAUAUUAGUAUUUGUAACAGCAAUAUUAUUGACAACGUUCAAAAGGGGAAUUCCACAAAAUAUAUUAAUAGAAACUUCAGUAAAGGGCCACAAAGUGUAUCAUUUUCAAGAUAGUACAGGGAUGGUCAAAGAAGCCUCAAAACGCAACAAACAAUUUCCAUUUCAUAUGACAUAAUAGCCCCAAUAUUUCCGUACACCUCUUUCGAUUUCAACUUGACAACUUGUCUGUUACUCGGCCUCAAUGCAAACUGAUUUGAAGCGCAAUGUUUACAUGAACGUAUCUAUCCCCCAAAAUAAGAUAACGGCACUUUCAUAAUGUAUCAUAAUGCAUCUGAACUGGUUUUUAUUGGACUACUAAAUAUUAAUAAAUUGUUGAAAGUCAAUGCAAUACAUACAAGCUAUUGCUGAUCGGAUAUGAGGCGCUCCACAUCGGUAUUUAAGCACAUGUUGAACGUGUAUUCGUGUCGUGCGACUCGUGGUGACACUUUAUUUAUACCCGUGCAAAGUAAUACCGGGCAUAUCAUUUCCGGUUCGUCGAAUUCUGUUAAUUAAUUAAAGCCGUUAUUAUUUACACAUCCCAAAAAUUCAGUGUUACGUGCGAUCUUCAUAUUCUAUUACCACUGUAUUUCUCAAAUGCCUUUAUCUUCAAGAUUGUCUCCAUGCAAGUUUUGACUCGACCCGACAUCGAGAAAAUAAUCUAAAAAUACACUUAAGUUAAGCUACAUGAUGAUAAAUUGACUUUUUCGGAAGUUAUAAUAAUUAUUACUUUUUUUCGUGCAAUUAAAAUUAAUGUAGUCAAUAAGAAUAAUUCCGCCUGCAAUAAUAAGUGGAGCCGAUGUGAAUGACUGAUCAGCACAAACGGCAGCCAUCACAGCCGAGUCGGGACAGGCGUGGGAUGGUCGCUGUGCAUUUGGAUACUACUAACAUGUAUUGUGACGCUUGGCAGAGCUGAUUUCGUAAUAAUUCUGUUAAGUAUUGCUAUUAUUGUUUAUGAAGAUUGUUUAUUUGUGGAAUAAGUGCACGUUUACGACGCAUUGCAGCUUUUAUUUUAUGCCAUUUUCCAACUUGUAAAGCCCGCUCAUAGCGAGACGGGGAAUCCCGUGACGUCAUUAGGAAGCCUAAUUUCAUCUGACAGUAGAUUGAUU